rnacentral:rRNA from 1 species
AACGCUGGCGGCAUGCCUAAGACAUGCAAGUCGAACGAGAUGGCCUUUGAAAACUGCGUACUUGUACAAAGUUGGAUUAAGAUUUCCAUCUAGUGGCAGACGGGUGAGUAAUACAUAAGUAAUCUACCUCAGAGACUGGGAUAACGUUUGGAAACGAACGCUAAUACCGGAUGAUUCUUCUUACACAAGUAAGAAUGCUAAAAGGAGCGUUUGCUUCACUUUGAGAUGAGCUUAUGGCGUAUUAACUAGUUGGUGGGGUAAUGGCCUACCAAGGUGACGAUGCGUAGCCGAACUGAGAGGUUGAUCGGCCACAUUGGGACUGAGACACGGCCCAAACUCCUACGGGAGGCAGCAGUUAGGAAUAUUCGUCAAUGGGGGAAACCCUGAACGAGCAAUGCCGCGUGAGUGAUUGACGGUCUUUAUGAUUGUAAAACUCUGUUGUAAGGAAAGAACCCUUAUCAUAGGAAAUGAUGAUAAGCUGACGGUACCUUACCAGAAAGCCCCGGCUAACUACGUGCCAGCAGCAGC